GACGAACCGUGCGAACGUUAUUCGGAAUCAUUGGGCUUAAAGGGCGCGUAGGCGGCGGUGUAAGUUGGAAGUGAAAUCCCAUCGGCUCAACCGUGGAAUAGCUCCCAGUACUGCAUCGCUCGAGGGGGAUAGGGGUUUGCGGAACUACCGGUGGAGCGGUGAAAUGUGUUGAUAUCGGUGGGAACGCCAGUGGCGAAAGCGGCAAACUUGACCCUUCCUGACGCUGAGGCGCGAAAGCUAGGGGAGCAAACGGG
rnacentral:rRNA from 1 species